UUCUUUGGUGAUUUGGCUGUAUGAUCAGUUGUGCUUCAUAAAGCUAGGUUACCAAAGCU
rnacentral:pre_miRNA from 1 species